rnacentral:rRNA from 1 species
GAUGAACGCUGGCGGCGUGCCUAACACAUGCAAGUCGAACGGAAAGGCCCUGCUCUUGCGGGGUGCUUGUGUGGCGCACGGGUGAGUAACACAUGUGUAACCCCCCCCUGACAUUCGGAUAACUUCAGGAAACUGGGGCUAUUAUCGGAUAGGAGCUUUUGCUGCACGGUGGGGGAUGGAAAGUUUCGGCGGUUUGGGAUGGACUCGCUGCUUAUCAGCUUGUUGGUGGGGUAGUGGCUUACCAAGGCUGUGACGGGUAGCCGGCCUGAGAGGGUGACCGGCCACAUUGGGACUGAGGGACGGACCAGACUCGUACGGGAGGCAACGGUGGGGAAUAUUGCACAGUGGGGCGAAGCCUGAUACGACGGCGCCGCGUGCGGAAUGACGUCCUUCGAGUUAUGAACCGCUUUCGCCUGUGACGAGGCGUGAGUGACGGUAAUGAGUAAAGAAGCACCGGCUAACUACGUG